rnacentral:lncRNA from 1 species
CCUGCUUGUGGUCUCACAUUGUACCUCACUAUAGCAUAGAGCUUCCAGGUCCACAUGGAAUAAUGAUGGCAUAGCAACUGCCUUGUGCCUCCCAGAGUCAGAACCCGAUGGGCAUGAUGACUCCGUUGCUGAAAUUUCUGUGACUAGGUCACCUGGGAAGGAAGAGGCUUUCUCUAGCAGUAGAGGGUGCUGUGCCGACAGAAUUGAGGAGAUGCGAAGUUUCUGUACAUGGCCAAGACUUAGGGCUGCCUUUCAUCUUCAAGCCACUUGUUCUGAUCCAAAAGACCCGGGAAAAGGAAAAAAGAUACAGACACAGGCCAUGCUAAAGGAUGUAGAUAACACAGUAAGUCCUAAGAGAACAUGGGAAAUGAUCAAUUUUUGCUGAAACUCUUCUAAAAUACUAUUUUGAAGUAUUUGCCAGAAGCCGAGGGUAUGGCAAGGUUUAAGAAAUUAUAAGGUGACUCAGACUUUAUCUUUCUGAAAGCAGAAGGGCAACAUUUUGAGCAUGAUGCCUACAGUUAGAGAAGAUUCUGGUAAAUGGUGAAGUAAUUACUAUCAUUUUAUUACUGUUGGCUCUUUCUCUUUGAAUACUUCAUGUACCUGAUGACAAAUUUUACCAAUAUAGAUUUGAAAUAUAUUUUGACAAGAUUAUGCCAUAUUUCUUUUAGAAUCAUGCAUCUUAGAGCUGGUCAGUCUCUUGCAGCCAUGAGGUGCAAUAUUAAUGUAUAACACACAGAGGUGUUGGCACCAACAGAUAAAGGGACUUGAGAAAGCUGCCAGUCUGUUAGUGGCAAGGUCCAACUAGCACCCAGUGUCCUUACCCCUGGGCCAAAGCUCUCUAUUUUGCUGCCCUGCCUUGAGUGUCA